rfam:Triticum aestivum genome assembly, contig: Triticum_aestivum_CS42_TGACv1_scaffold_434589_5DL
AAUAUACUCCCUCCGUUCCUAAAUAUAAGUCUUUGUGGAGAUUUCAUUAUGGACCACAUACGGAUGUAUCUAGAUGCAUUUUAGAGUAUAUAGAUUCACUCAUUUUGUUCCGUAUGUGGUCCAUAGUGGAAUCUUUCCAAAGACUUAUAUUUAGGAACGGAGGGAGUACUAC